GUUAAGCAUAUCACUAAGCGGAGAAAAGAAACUAACAAGGAUUCCCCUAGUAGCGGCGAGCGAACCGGGAGAAGCCCAGCUUGAAAAUCGCGUCGUCCUCGCGGCGACGCGAGUUGUAGUCUGGAGAAGCGUCCUCUGCGGCGGACCGGUCCCAAGUUCCCUGGAAAGGGACGUCAGAGAGGGUGAGAACCCCGUCGGGAUCGGACCCUGCUGCUCCACGAGGCGCUGUCGUCGAGUCGGGCUGUUUGGGAAUGCAGCCCUAAGCGGGAGGUAAAUUCCUUCCAAGGCUAAAUACGGGCGGGAGACCGAUAGCGAACAAGUACCGCGAGGGAAAGAUGAAAAGGACUUUGAAAAGAGAGUUAAAGAGUGCUUGAAAUUGCUGGGAGGGAAGCGAAUGGAGGCCUCGUGUGCGCCCCGGUCGGAUGCGGAACGGCGUCAAGCUGGUCCGCCGCUCGACGCGGGGCGCUGGUCAGCGUGGGCUGCCCUCGGCGGGACAAACGUCGGCCCUUCGUCGGGCCGGCCUACAUGCCGUCGGGGCGGCCGAGGAACGAAGCGCGCGCCCUCGUGGCGGGUCCGGCCGACUCUCGGGUCGGUCGGGCGCCUGCGCGCUCGGGACGCUGGCGUGGUGGGCUUUUCAUCCGACCCGUCUUGAAACACGGACCAAGGAGUCUAACAUGCACGCGAGUCGGUGGGCGGCAAACCCAACCGAGGCGCAAAGAAAUUGACUGGUGUGAUCCCUCGCUCCUCGCGGGGGUGCAACAUCGACCGACCAUGAUCUUCUGUGAAAGGUUCGAGUAAGAGCGUGCCUGAUGGGACCCGAAAGAUGGUGAACUAUGCCUGAGCAGGGCGAAGUCAGAGGAAACUCUGGUGGAGGCUCGUAGCGAUACUGACGUGCAAAUCGUUCGUCAGACUUGGGUAUAGGGGCGAAAGACUAAUCGAACCAUCUAGUAGCUGGUUCCCUCCGAAGUUUCCCUCAGGAUAGCUGGAGCACGUGAGAAGUUUUAUCAGGUAAAGCGAAUGAUUAGAGGCAUCGGGGGUGAAACACCCUCGCACCUAUUCUCAAACUUUAAAUAGGUAAGCCCGCCGGGGUUGCUUGACUGAACCCCCGGCGCGGAGAAUU
rnacentral:rRNA from 1 species